rnacentral:rRNA from 1 species
GACGAACGCUGGCGGCGUGCUUAACACAUGCAAGUCGAACGGAAAGGCCCUGCUUUUGUGGGGUGCUCGAGUGGCGAACGGGUGAGUAACACGUGAGUAACCUGCCCUUGACUUUGGGAUAACUUCAGGAAACUGGGGCUAAUACCGGAUAGGAGCUCCUGCUGCAUGGUGGGGGUUGGAAAGUUUCGGCGGUUGAGGAUGGACUCGCGGCUUAUCAGCUUGUUGGUGGGGUAGUGGCUUACCAAGGCUUUGACGGGUAGCCGGCCUGAGAGGGUGACCGGCCACAUUGGGACUGAGAUACGGCCCAGACUCCUACGGGAGGCAGCAGUGGGGAAUAUUGCACAAUGGGCGGAAGCCUGAUGCAGCAACGCCGCGUGCGGGAUGACAGCCUUCGGGUUGUAAACCGCUUUCGCCUGUGACGAAGCGUGAGUGACGGUAAUGGGUAAAGAAGCACCGGCUAACUACGUG